ensembl:lncRNA
CUUUCCAUCAUUAUCAAGGUUCCUGUGGGUGCUGGUUCUGAAACAGUCAAUAAGCAAAUUGAUUUGAUCAGAACAAAUGAAAUAUAAUUUGAGUGGAAUAAUUUAUCAAGGUAAAUGGCCCUGUGAUGGUAAUGGGAACAGCACUGAGACUACUUCUACUCCACCCUGCUGUUUUACACAAAAUGCCACAUCCUACAUAGCUGCUACGGCUUACUUAAUAUGGAGGAAGCUGCAUAUGCAGGAAGUGAUUUCCGAGGGACGCUGACAGAAGGACCAUCAUGGUGGCAAACGGCCCAUGUUCUGUUGCUCCAGAUCUUCUUGGAGAGAUCUGGUAGAAGAGAUCUGUGCUGUGUGACAGUUGCCAAGAACUGUACAAGUCAGUGACGUGCUGGUGGGAAGAACAAAUGGGGCAGCCACGUUCCCAAACAGGCAGAGGAUCCCAGCCCCCACAACCACAUACGCUGCAAGUGUUAGAAGACCAAAUGCGGCAAACUUCUUGGGAUGUGGUGAAAGAUGGAUACUUCAUCUGCCUCUCUCCUUAUUAGCACUUUGAACUCAUACUCUGGUGUGAGAUCACGUUUGAGGAGACUGCAAAUGGUGGCACAGGCAGUGCUUUGCUCCCAAGGGAGGAAGACAUUUGGUGGACUAUUAUCUAUUUGGUAUAGCAAGGUUGCCAACAGCAAGCAAUUCCAGGUCAUGCUGCUCCACACUGCUCUAUCAGACCUAUUUCUAUUUGACGAGUGCUUCUGGCAUCUAAAAGUAACAUGGGAAAUCCCUGUUUUGAGGUAAUGCAGAAUGAGAGAUAAGUGGCUCUGCAAAACCCGAGGCUGGUGAAGUGAAUUUGGAUUAAGACCACAACCAAAAUAUUUUUGAAGUUCUUUUUCAUGUACAGAUGAAGACAUACACACAUGUAUAUCAUAAUUAUGCUUGACAUUUGUUUACUAUUUUGGUCUUCAUACCUGCAUGUGCAAUCUCUGCAGACAUCAGUAAUUAUAUUACUUAGCACAGAGAUGAACAAAUGUGGGUGUGCAUAAAGGAGUAACUGAUAGCAUCUUUUCAGAUAACUUACGAGUGCAGAGGCUGGGGGAAAAAAGUGAAAAUAAAGUAGGUAACUACUGGGCA